ACUUGAAUUAAGAGGCAACUCUUAACUGGCCAGUUAGGGAAAGACCGAGAGGUUUAAGCUUAACGGGCAGAAAGCUUCACAAAGUAGCACUAAACAUAGUGAAGCGGGGGGUCUGGCGGUAGUGCUAAAACGACGGACCAA
rnacentral:sRNA from 10 species